rnacentral:rRNA from 1 species
UACGUAGGGCGCAAGCGUUGUCCGGAAUUAUUGGGCGUAAAGAGCUCGUAGGCGGCUUGUCACGUCGAUUGUGAAAGCCCGAGGCUUAACCUCGGGUCUGCAGUCGAUACGGGCUAGCUAGAGUGUGGUAGGGGAGAUCGGAAUUCCUGGUGCAGCGGUGAAAUGCGCAGAUAUCAGGAGGAACACCGGUGGCGAAGGCGGAUCUCUGGGCCGUAACUGACGCUGAGGAGCGAAAGCAUGGGGAGCGAACAGG